AUUGAACGCUGGCGGCAUGCUUUACACAUGCAAGUCGGACGGCAGCACAGAGGAGCUUGCUUCUUGGGUGGCGAGUGGCGCACGGGUGAGUAACGCAUCGGAACGUACCGAGUAAUGGGGGAUAACUGUCCGAAAGGACAGCUAAUACCGCAUACGCCCUGAGGGGGAAAGCGGGGGAUCUUAGGACCUCGCGUUAUUCGAGCGGCCGAUGUCUGAUUAGCUGGUUGGCGGGGUAAAGGCCCACCAAGGCGACGAUCAGUAGCGGGUCUGAGAGGAUGAUCCGCCACACUGGGACUGAGACACGGCCCAGACUCCUACGGGAGGCAGCAGUGGGGAAUGUUGGACAAUGGGCGCAAGCCUGAUCCAGCCAUGCCGCGUGUCUGAAGAAGGCCUUCGGGUUGUAAAGGACUUUUGUCAGGGAAGAAAAGGGGCAUGUUAAUACCGUGCUCUGAUGACGGUACCUGAAGAAUAAGCACCGGCUAACUACGUG
rnacentral:rRNA from 1 species